UGUGUGAUAGAUAGAGGAUGAAUUAACUGAUUUACAUAUUGAUAUUUGAUUGAAUAUUCCAAAUUCUAUAGAAUCCUCUUACUAGCUUGAGAGAAUCUUUUUUUUCUUUUCCCAGGUUAUGCGAUCCUUUCCAUAUAAUCCAAUGAUUCCAAAGGAAGACCCAUGUAAUGGUGCCCUUCAAGAUAAGGAUUGGCAUACAAUUCUUCAGGCUAUUCUCAACUGACAGAACAGGCGACUCUGUUUGUGAGAGAUGCUGAACUAAAAUCUUGUUGGCAUUGCUGCUGCUGCGGCUGCUGUUGAUGAUAAGUUGGUUGAACAUGGGUGAACAGUUUGAACUUGUUCAAAACUUGGCAUAUCAGGGUGUUUUUCGUACAUGGUAACACCGAAAAGAUAUGAAUUCAGCUAGUAUCAAGUUUCAUGGAUGUGUUUUCUGCCCUCCUGCUUGCAUUGUCGCCUAUUAAAAUAUUGUCAACCAAAAAAUUUUCCAAA